GACGAACGCUGGCGGCGUGCUUAACACAUGCAAGUCGAGCGGUAAGGCCCUUUCGGGGGUACACGAGCGGCGAACGGGUGAGUAACACGUGGGUGACCUGCCCUCAGCUCUGGGAUAAGCCUGGGAAACCGGGUCUAAUACCGGAUAUGACUCCAUGACGCAUGUUGUGGGGUGGAAAGCCUUGUGCGGCUGAGGAUGGGCCCGCGGCCUAUCAGCUUGUUGGUGGGGUGANGGCCUACCAAGGCGACGACGGGUAGCCGGCCUGAGAGGGCGACCGGCCACACUGGGACUGAGACACGGCCCAGACUCCUACGGGAGGCAGCAGUGGGGAAUCUUGCGCAAUGGGCGAAAGCCUGACGCAGCG
rnacentral:rRNA from 1 species